rnacentral:rRNA from 4 species
UGUGGUUACAAUAGCAGAGAGGAUACACCUGUUCCCAUUCCGAACACAGAAGUUAAGCUCUCUAGCGCUGAUGGUACUUGG